GAUCAACUCGUGAAUAUGUUUGAAUAUGUAGGGAUGGCCGCGGUGGUCAAACUCCUCGACCUCCCUUGUGCUGGGAGUGGGUGCCACGUUGUGUGCUCCCCUCCCAGCCCAACCCAAACCCCGGCGCUUAAUGUGCCAAGGAACUAAAAUUGGUUAAGUGCGCCCCUGCGGGCACUGGAGACGGUGAUCUCGCAGGAGGUGUGACGCAUGAUAAAUAUAAACGACUCUCGUGAAUUGCAGAAUCCCGUGAACCAUCGAGUUUUUGAACGCAAGUUGCGCCCGAAGCCAUUAGGUUGAGGGCACGUCUGCCUGGGCGUCACAUAUCGUUGCCCUAUGCCCAAUGCCCAUUGAUAGGCACUGUGCAGGGCGAAUGUUGGCUUCCCGUGAGCAUUGUUGUCUCACGGUUGGUUGAAAACUGAGUCCUUGGUAGGGUGUGUGCCAUGAUAGAUGGUGGUUGUGUGACCCACGAGACCGAUCAUGUGCGGCUCUACCGUGCUCUGGACCCUUUGACCCACUUGCGUCCUUGAACGCUCUUGAA
rnacentral:rRNA from 1 species